rnacentral:lncRNA from 1 species
GAAGCCCGUUCGUAGUCAGAGCCUGUCGAAUCACCGGAAUCUUGGCCAGAAUCCUCAACGGAAAGUUUGAUUUGCUCGGGAAUGUUGCCGAAAAAUUGGUUCUUGCCUGUGCCAUAGGUUGGGUGGCCGGAAGAGAUGGAUUUCCGGCAAGGAAGGCAGCGUCCACAAUGGAGUUUACUGAAAAGAGAGAGAAAAAAGGAUUUGGAGUUGUUUCAUCUUCUUUUCUUCUAGAAAGAAAAAGAAGAGACUUGUUUCUGCUAGAUUUUGAGGAAACGAAUUCGUUGGGUGAGGCAAUAGGGGCAUAUCCCCUGUAGAGGGUGAGAAGGGCUCAUUAGUUAGCGGUGGGUGCUACACUCUUUGGCCAUCGCCAUGCCUAUGCUCAUAUUCAUGCUCCUCUCUCUCUCUGAGAGGAGACUUCACUCUUUCUCUCUCUAUCUGUGACAGAAGCUUCUAAAGAAAGCUUGAUGCCCAAGAUAGUUCUCUCUCUAGAUGGUGCUCUCUUUCUCUCUCUGAUGUGGUAGAUUGUAGGCUUUCUCUCUGCAAUAUAUGCGUUGGUUUCUCU